rnacentral:rRNA from 1 species
AUUGAACGCUGGCGGCAGGCCUAACACAUGCAAGUCGAGCGGAUGAAGGGAGCUUGCUCCUGGAUUCAGCGGCGGACGGGUGAGUAAUGCCUAGGAAUCUGCCUGGUAGUGGGGGAUAACGUCCGGAAACGGGCGCUAAUACCGCAUACGUCCUGAAGGAGAAAGUGGGGGAUCUUCGGACCUCACGCUAUCAGAUGAGCCUAGGUCGGAUUAGCUAGUUGGUGGGGUAAAGGCCUACCAAGGCGACGAUCCGUAACUGGUCUGAGAGGAUGAUCAGUCACACUGGAACUGAGACACGGUCCAGACUCCUACGGGAGGCAGCAGUGGGGAAUAUUGGACAAUGGGCGAAAGCCUGAUCCAGCCAUGCCGCGUGUGUGAAGAAGGUCUUCGGAUUGUAAAGCACUUUAAGUUGGGAGGAAGGGCAGUAAGUUAAGACCUUGCUGUUGUGACGUUACCAACAGAAUAAGCACCGGCUAACUUCGUG